rnacentral:rRNA from 1 species
AAGAAUUCCUUGAGUAGCUGCGAGCGAAAUAGGAAAAGCCCAGCACGUAGGCUUCCUAUUGUUGUGAUAGGUAAGCGAUGCCGUGUACAGGUGUGUCCAUUAUCUAUUAUAUACAAUAGCAUGUUCAAGUCCUUCUUGAAUGAGGCCAUUUACCCAUAGAGGGUGCCAGGCCCGUUUAACUGUUAUUCGUAAUAGAGGAUAUUACUUAAGAGUCGUAUUGCUUGAUAAUGCAAUACAAAGUUGGAGUAAACUCCUUCUAAGGCUAAAUAUUACCAUGAGACCGAUAGCGAACAAGUACCGUGAGGGAAAGUUGAAAAGCACUCUGAAUAGAGAGUCAAAAAGUACGUGAAACCAUUCAGAGUUAUAAAAGCCAGAAGUAGCUAAAUAUCUGAACAGAGAAAUUCAAUUCUACUUAUUAUUUAAAAUAAUGGGUAGUAUGCACUUUUCUCAAAGUAAGACAUUGCGAUCCAUUAGAAUCGAUUCUAUACAAAUUAUUUUGUUGAAUUUGUUAUUGUUUGUCAAUUAGGCCUUGUUAUGGAGCUUACAUUUAUAUGUUAGUACAAUAUUUUCUAAGGUGUAAUAUUGGAAAGCAGUGUAAACAUAGUUGAGUGUCCUUGUACAAAUAUCUGAUGGUUGUGUUAUAUACGAUCACACUAAAUUUAGAGGUAAAUUCUCUCUAUUGCAGCAUUAUAUGUGUAUGCAUAGUGUUUUGCCGUAAUCAGCAAUGUGACCAGUUUAGUAAUCUUCCGGACCCGUCUUGAAACACGGACCAAGAAGUUUAACUUAUGCGCAAGUCAAUGAGUUUAUUUAAAGCUUAUAGGCGAUAUUAACGUAACUGUUAUUAUAAAUAUGGAAUUACGGUGUCUGUAAUAUUGUGGACUUCCUUCUUUCCCAGGUAUCUGUUAAUCUAAGAUUUUACUUGAUAUAUUUUAUGUAUUUUGUAUGCUUGGUAUGAUAUACUGUGAGCGCAUAAGAUAGACCCC